GAUUAACGCUGGCGGCGUGCAUAACACAUGCAAGUCGAACGAUGAAACUUAACUGAUUUCUUCGGAAUGAUUUUAAGUGGUUUAGUUGCGGACGGGUGAGUAACGCGUGAGUAACCUGCCUUGGUGAAGGGGAUAGCCUUUUGAAACGAAUAAUAAUACCCUAUGAUAUUAUAAUAUCUCAUGAUAUUAUCUUCAAAGAUUUAUCGCUCUAAGAUGGACUUGAUUCUGAUUAGUUAGUUGGUGAGGUAACAGCUCACCAAGGCAGCGAUCAGUAGCCGGAUGGAGAGAGUGAAAGGCAAAAGUGGGAGUGAGACACGGCGCAGACUCCUAAGGGAGGAAGCAGAGGGGAAAUAAGAAAAAGGGGGGAAAACAAGAAGAAGAGAGGCAGGGAGAUUUAGAAGGCCUUAGGGUUGUAAAAAACUUUUGUAUGGGAAGAAAAUGACAGUAACAAACGAAUAAGGACCGGCUAAUUACGUG
rnacentral:rRNA from 1 species